CAAUUCCCCAUCCCCUCCCCAGGAAAGGCGAUCGCAUUUAUCAGCAGCUGCGGCGCCUCGGGGCCUCCAUGGACUGGGAGCGCGCCUGCUUCACCAUGGACCCGAAAAUGAGCCGGGCAGUGACCGAGGCCUUCGUGAGGCUCCACGAGCAGGGACUGAUCUACCGCAGCCGCCGCAUCGUGCACUGGAGCUGUGCCCUCCGCUCGGCCAUUUCUGAUAUCGAGGUGGAGAAGCGCGAGCUCGGGGGUCGCACUCUGCUGCGGGUCCCGGGCUACGAGGAGCCCGU